rnacentral:snoRNA from 1 species
AUUUGAUGAUGUGGACAUUGUAUUUGUAACUCCCCAAAUCUUUCCCGAGCUUCGAAGAAUUCCACCGUAUGCUUUUGUCUAAAAGUUUGGAUCUUGUUUCUCUACUC